rnacentral:rRNA from 1 species
UACGUAGGAUCCGAGCGUUAUCCGGAUUUACUGGGCGUAAAGAGUUGCGUAGGUGGCAUAGUAAGUCAGUAGUGAAAUCCUGGGGCUCAACCCCUUCAACAUUAUUGAAACUACUAAGCUAGAGCAUGAGAGAGGUAACUGGAAUUCCAAGUGUAGGAGUGAAAUCCGUAGAUAUUUGGAGGAACACCGAUGGCGUAGGCAGGUUACUGGCUCAUUGCUGACACUAAGGCACGAAAGCGUGGGGAGCAAACGGG